UACGUAGGGACCAAGCGUUGUUCGGAUUUACUGAGCGUAAAGGGCGCGUAGGCGGCAAUUCAAGUCAGCUGUGAAAUCUCCGGGCUUAACUCGGAACGGUCAGCUGAUACUGCUUUGCUAGAGUGCAGAAGGGGCAAUCGGAAUUCUUGGUGUAGCGGUGAAAUGCGUAGAUAUCAAGAGGAACACCUGAGGUGAAGACGGGUUGCUGGGCUGACACUGACGCUGAGGCGCGAAAGCUAGGGGAGCGAACGGG
rnacentral:rRNA from 1 species